AAUGAACGCUGGCGGCGUGCCUAAUACAUGCAAGUCGAGCGGAAACACUUCGGGUGUCGAGCGGCGGACGGGUGAGUAACGCGUAGGAACAUGCCCCAAACUGAGGGAUAAGCACCAGAAAUGGUGUCUAAUACCGCAUAUGGUCUUUAAUGAUUAAAGCUUCGGCGGUUUGGGAGUGGCCUGCGUCUGAUUAGCUAGUUGGUAGAGUAAAAGCCUACCAAGGCGAUGAUCAGUAGCUGGUUUGAGAGGAUGAUCAGCCACACUGGAACUGAGAUACGGUCCAGACUUCUACGGAAGGCAGCAGUAGGGAAUCUUCCACAAUGGACGAAAGUCUGAUGGAGCAACGCCGCGUGCAGGACGACGGCCUUAGGGUUGUAAACUGCUUUUAUAGGUGAAGAUUAUGACGGUAACCUAUGAAUAAGGAUCGGCUAACUCCG
rnacentral:rRNA from 1 species